rnacentral:rRNA from 1 species
CCUACGGGAGGCAGCAGUGAGGAAUAUUGGACAAUGGAUGGAAAUCUGAUCCAGCCAUGCCGCGUGCAGGAAGACGGCCCUAUGGGUUGUAAACUGCUUUUAUAUGGGAGCAAUAAGGUUUACGAGUAGACCGAUGAGAGUACCAUAUGAAUAAGCAUCGGCUAACUCCGUGCCAGCAGCCGCGGUAAUACGGAGGAUGCGAGCGUUAUCCGGAUUUAUUGGGUUUAAAGGGUGCGUAGGCGGCUUAGUAAGUCAGCGGUGAAAUUUUGCAGCUUAACUGUAACAGUGCCGUUGAUACUGCCAGGCUAGGAUUUGGUUGCUGUGGGUGGAAUGUGUGGUGUAGCGGUGAAAUGCUUAGAUAUCACACAGAAUAUCGAUUGCGAAGGCAGCUCACAAAGCCAAGAUUGACGCUGAGGCACGAAAGUGUGGGGAUCAAACAGGAUUAGAUACCCUGGUAGUCCACACUGUAAACGAUGAUAACUCGCUGCCGGCGAUACACAGUCGGUGGCCAAGCGAAAGCGAUAAGUUAUCCACCUGGGGAGUACGACCGCAAGGUUGAAACUCAAAUGAAUUGACGGGGAAACUCAAAUGAAUUGACGGGGAAACUCAAAUGAAUUGACGGGGAAACUCAAAUGAAUUGACGGGGA